rnacentral:rRNA from 1 species
UUACUUUGAACAAUGAGUGCUCAAGUCGCCGAUGUUGCCCUGUAAAGUUUGCAUGAAUAAUGGAAGAGGACUUCGGUUUAUUUCGUGUUUCGGAUCCGAAGUAAUGAUCAAAAGGGACAGGCGGGGCGUUUGUAGGCUGCGCUGAGUGAAUUCAUGAACGGUGCCAGACGACAAAGCGAAGGCAUUCGUCAAGCAUGUUUCAUU